GCCAGACAAUGGCCUGGAGGAGAGAUGGUGCAUGCAAAAUGGGGGUCCAAGAGGAAACCCAUCUCCUACUGUGCAAGGGCUAUCCAAGACUCUGGGAUCACUGACUUGGCCCCGUGGAACACUGGGAAGUGCAGAUAGGAGAGGUUCUGGUCUCGGCCUCACUGGUUCAGAGGGCUGGCCAUGGGGGUCCCUGCCAACCGCAAGCCUGAGGGGAGAGGAGAGCUUUGCAGGAACAGAAGAAGGAAUGUCUCAAGGAACGCAGCAGACCAGGCUCCCAGACAGGUCUGGAAGUCUCUCCAUCCCGGGUCUCCUUCACUGCUCUCUAAAGCUCUGCCAGGAAGUCCUUGUGUUGAUUAAACCUCCAUGCUCCUUGCUGCAUGUCAGCUGUG